ensembl:lncRNA
AUGGAUGUGGACAUGGCUUUCUGCUUCAGGAGGUUGUUUACAUUCAGGCCCAAGUUGGUGGGGGAGUUUCGGGUCACCUUGUUGGCAUUCCGCCCAUUGCUUUUCAUUUUUGUGGAGCCAAAUUUGGUGGCGGCGAAGCUGGCAGUGGUAAAGGUUAAAGGUUGGGUGGAACGGCGCAUGAAGGUGGGGCUGACCGCUGCCGACUGGCCGAACGGUGGGGACGGGGAACUGGAGCACCUUAACGGGUCCCUUCUCCCCAAUCUGAUAAGACACCUCGAAAGGAUCAAUCCAGACACUGAGGUCCUGAGGCAGGUUGUUGCGGACAUCCUCAAUGUCCAACCCACUUUCUUUGGCUGCUUGCUCUACAACUGGGUCCACUUUCUCCCCGACAUGUAUACACCUGAAUCCAGACCCUUUGUAUGGCUUGUCCGGGUACCAGUGUCCCUCGUAUUUCUGUUUCAGCUGUCUCUCCAACUCCUCGCCGAAAAUGUUGACACGUCGCCUGGGCAGCUUAUUGUACAACUAGGAGAAAAGCAGCCUAAUUUCCUGGGAAAAGCAAAGCUGAAUUCUGCUCCCUGA